UACGGGGGGGCAAGCGUUGUUCGGAAUUACUGGGCGUAAAGGGCUCGUAGGCGGCCAACUAAGUCAGACGUGAAAUCCCUCGGCUUAACCGGGGAACUGCGUCUGAUACUGGAUGGCUUGAAUCCGGGAGAGGGAUGCGGAAUUCCAGGUGUAGCGGUGAAAUGCGUAGAUAUCUGGAGGAACACCGGUGGCGAAGGCGGCAUCCUGGACCGGCAUUGACGCUGAGGAGCGAAAGCCAGGGGAGGCAAACGGG
rnacentral:rRNA from 1 species